AUGCGCUGGCCGACGUCGCCCUCCUUCUCCGCGGUGGCGGCGAAGCGGGCGGCGGUGGUUCUGGCUAUGGUGGUGCUGGUGCUGGCGAUGGCUGUCGUCCGUGCGCGCGGCGUGGAAGGCGCCCGCGUGCCGCGACCGUCGACGGUGGCGCCUCCCUCGACGACGAACAUGACCUCCGGCGGCGGCAACAACGAGGGCGUGGAGAUGCGGCGGCUGGCCGGAGGCGGGGCCUCCGCGGAGGACGAGGACUACGGGUACGUGGACCCUCCGCCGGACACGAACCGCCGAGGGGCCGGCGCUCCCAUCCCGCACAAGCACAACUGA
rnacentral:rRNA from 1 species